CAGUUGGUAGAGCGGAGGACUGUAGUG
rnacentral:piRNA from 1 species